rnacentral:rRNA from 1 species
GACGAACGCUGGCGGCGCGCUUAACACAUGCCAGUCGAACGGAAAGGCCUGCUUUCCCUUGUGGAUUGCGGGUACUCGAGUGGCGAACGGGUGAGUAACACGUGAGUGAUCUGCCCCCAACUUGGGUAUAAGCCUGGGAAACUGGGUCUAAUUCCCGAUAGGACUGCAGGGUGGGUCCUGUGGUGGAAAACGAUGUUCUAGUGGUUGGGGAUGAGCUCGCGGCCUAUCAGCUUGUUGGUGGGGUAAUGGCCUACCAAGGCGGGGACGGGUAGCCGGCCUGGGAGGGUGGGCGGCCACAUUGGGACUGAGAUACGGCCCAGACUCCUACGGGAGGCAGCAGUGGGGAAUAUUGCACAAUGGGCGGAAGCCUGAUGCAGCGACGCCGCGUGGGGGAUGACGGCCUUCGGGUUGUAAACUCCUUUCGACCGCGAGGAAGCCACCUGGUUGGAAGGGUGGUGACGGUAGUGGUAGAAGAAGCACCGGCUAACUACGUG